UACGAAGGGUGCAAACGUUGCUCGGAAUUAUUGGGCGUAAAGCGCACGUAGGCGGCUUUGCAAGUCGGAUGUGAAAUCCCUCGGCUCAACCAAGGAAGUGCAUCCGAAACUGCAGAGCUUGAGUACCAAAGAGGAUCGCGGAAUUCCCGGUGUAGAGGUGAAAUUCGUAGAUAUCGGGAGGAACACCAGUGGCGAAGGCGGCGAUCUGGGUGGAUACUGACGCUGAGGUGCGAAAGCCAGGGGAGCAAACGGG
rnacentral:rRNA from 1 species